CUUGGAGGUGAGAUUUUCUUUUUGAUGAAUGGCUGCUGUGAGCUUAUAAUUCUUAUAUCUUAACCUGCCCGGGCUGAAAAUAUGUACCCUUUGCAUCACAUGCCAAAAUGAAGACAGUAAAACUGCCACAGCAGAAUAGAUUGCAAGGUUUGUACUUGAUUCUGUGAUUUUAACUUGGUCAUCAGCAAUCUUGAGAAGAAGCUGAACAGUGAGGCCAGCUUAAAAAGCCCCAGCCCUACAUUCCAGGCAAGUCCUGCAAGCAUGAGGAACGUGUGGAUGUGCACCAGCAUUUGUGUCAGCACAGAAUCCAAGCUGCUGUCAGUCUCUUGGGCACAGCUCCAUCAAGAAUAGGCACCACUGACACAAAAAGAAAACAGCAUGAGAGCAAAGUCUUAGGAGAAAUCUUCAGAUGAAAAUGGGUGCCUCUUUUGCGGUUUGUGACAUCUCCUCUCCUCUGCAAUGCCAGUAAAGGGAGCAACUUCCUGACCUCAGCUCUCCCUAGUCCACCGCAUAGCCGUGGAUGUGAC